rnacentral:rRNA from 1 species
AGUGGCGGACGGGUGAGUAACACGUGAGAAUUUGCCUUUAGGAGGGGGAUAACAAUCGGAAACGAAUGCUAAUACCCCAUAUGCUUUUGAGUGAAAUGGAUUUAUCUGCCUAAAGAGAAGCUCGCGGCUGAUUAGCUUGUUGGUAAGGUAAGAGCUUACCAAGGCGACGAUCAGUAUCUGGUUUGAGAGGACGAUCAGACACACUGGAACUGAGACACGGUCCAGACUCCUACGGGAGGCAGCAGUGGGGAAUUUUCCGCAAUGGGCGAAAGCCUGACGGAGCAAUACCGCGUGAGGGAAGAAUGCCUAUGGGUUGUAAACCUCUUUUUUCAGGGAGGAAUAAAAUGACGUGUACCUGAAGAAUAAGCAUCGGCUAACUCCGUGCCAGCAGCCGCGGUAAGACGGAGGAUGCAAGUGUUAUCCGGAAUCACUGGGCGUAAAGCGUCUGUAGGUGGUUUAAUAAGUCAACUGUUAAAUCUUGAGGCUCAACUUCAAAAUCGCAGUCGAAACUAUUAGACUAGAGUAUAGUAGGGGUAAAGGGAAUUUCCAGUGGAGCGGUGAAAUGCGUAGAUAUUGGAAAGAACACCAAUGGCGAAAGCACUUUACUGGGCUAUUACUAACACUCAGAGACGAAAGCUAGGGUAGCAAAUGGGAUUAGAUACCCCAGUAGUCCUAGCCGUAAACUAUGGAUACUAGAUGU